AGAGUUUGAUCCUGGCUCAGAACGAACGCUAGCGGCGCGCUUAACACAUGCAAGUCGAACGCGAAAAGCAGCAAUGCUGAGUAGAGUGGCGCACGGGUGAGUAACGCGUAAAUGAUCUGCCCAAGACACUGAAAUAACCGCUCGAAAGGGUGGCUAAUGUCAGAUAAGCCCACAUCUCUUGUGAUGUGAGAAAAGGGUUG
rnacentral:rRNA from 1 species